rnacentral:rRNA from 1 species
CCUACGGGAGGCUGCAGUGAGGAAUAUUGGUCAAUGGACGAGAGUCUGAACCAGCCAAGUAGCGUGAAGGAUGACUGCCCUAUGGGUUGUAAACUUCUUUUAUAUGGGAAUAAAAUGUUCCACGUGUGGGAUUUUGUAUGUACCAUAUGAAUAAGGAUCGGCUAACUCCGUGCCAGCAGCCGCGGUAAUACGGAGGAUCCAAGCGAUAUCCGGAUUUAUUGGGUUUAAAGGGAGCGUAGGUGGAUUAUUAAGUCAGUUGUGAAAGUUUGCGGCUCAACCGUAGAACUGCAGUUGAAACUGGUAGUCUGGAGUGCAGUAGAGGUAGGUGGAAUUCGUGGUGUAGCGGUAAAAUGCGUAGAGAUCAAGAAGAAUACUCAUUGCGAAGGCAGCCCACUGGA